UGGCGGACGGGUGAGUAACACGUGAACAAUCUACCCUCGAGUGGGGAAUAACCCCGCGAAAGCGGGGCUAAUACCGCAUAAUACUUCUGGGACGCAUGUCCUGGAGAUCAAGGGCUUCGGUCGCUUGAGGAGGAGUUCGCGCCUGAUUAGCUAGUUGGUGAGGUAACGGCCCACCAAGGCAACGAUCAGUAGCCGGCCUGAGAGGGCGUACGGCCACACUGGAACUGAGACACGGUCCAGACUCCUACGGGAGGCAGCAGUGGGGAAUUUUGCGCAAUGGGCGAAAGCCUGACGCAGCUACGCCGCGUGGAGGAUGAAGGCCUUCGGGUCGUAAACUCCUGUCAGGGGGGACGAAACACCGGGUAACCGGCUUGACUGUACCCCCGGAGGAAGCCACGGCUAACUCCGUGCCAGCAGCCGCGGUAAU
rnacentral:rRNA from 1 species